rnacentral:rRNA from 1 species
GACGAACGCUGGCGGCGUGCUUAACACAUGCAAGUCGAACGGAAAGGCCCUGCUUUUGUGGGGUACUCGAGUGGCGAACGGGUGAGUAACACGUGAGUAACCUGCCCUUGACUUUGGGAUAACUUCAGGAAACUGGGGCUAAUACCGGAUAGGAGCUCCUGCUGCAUGGUGGGGGUUGGAAAGUUUCGGCGGUUGGGGAUGGACUCGCGGCUUAUCAGCUUGUUGGUGGGGUAGUGGCUUACCAAGGCUUUGACGGGUAGCCGGCCUGAGAGGGUGACCGGCCACAUUGGGACUGAGAUACGACCCAGACUCCUACGGGAGGCAGCAGUGGGGAAUAUUGCACAAGGGGCGGAAGCCUGAUGCAGCAACGCCGCGUGCGGGAUGACGGCCUUCGGGUUGUAAACCGCUUUCGCCUGUGACGAAGCGUGAGUGACGGUAAUGGGUAAAGAAGCACCGGCUAACUACGUG